rfam:Bombyx mori DNA, contig: Bm_scaf33_contig20287, strain: p50T/Dazao, build 2, whole genome shotgun sequence.
AAAACUAAAAUUUGUGUGGAGUUGGAAUAGCUUCCCUUCGUUUGCCGUUAGGGACGCUGUUUCAACUCCACACAAAUUUUAGUUA